UCCUACUGCUACUUUGGCACAGACUUCUUCAGGUAGUCUGUCCUGUUUACUCUCUUCUGCGCCCACUUCCUGGGUCGUAGACUCUGGUGCCACAAAUCAUAUGACCGGAUCUGAGGACUGGACGGAUGAUUGGUGGCGGACAUGAGUCCAAUGGGCUGUACUACCUGAACAAAGACCUCAUUGCUGCAGCUGCUCAAAAGAAAACUGCUUCCGACUUAUUUCAGAUGCAUUGUCGUAUGGGUCAUCCACCACCUGAUAUUCUUCGUCAUUUUUCACCUGUUUCAAAAUCUAUGAGUCCUAUCCAGUGUGAUGCAUGCCAAUUUGGCAAACACCAUCGGGUGUCGUUUCCUUCUCGUGUCCAGCGUCGUGUGUCUAGUCCUUUUGAGUUGGUCCAUUCUGAUGUCUGGGGACCGUGUCGUGCCAGCGAUAUGUCUAGUUAUAAAUAUUUUGUUACAUUCGUGGAUGAUUAUUCCCGAAUGACAUGGUUAUAUUUAAUAAAAGAUCGAACUGAAGUUUUUUCA